rnacentral:misc_RNA from 1 species
AAGUCGUAACAAGGUUUCCGUAGGUGAACCUGCGGAAGGAUCAUUGACAAAUCUAAAACCGUUGCGUGGAGCGCUGGCCUUAAACAAGCUAGCUUUCACGUCAACAAAUCUUAACCUGUGAAUCGCAGCACGCAAGUGUUGUUGUGUCGUCUGUGUUAGAUCUGUAUAGCUUCGGCUAUAUAUUUUUACACAUGCACACGUUAAAAUUAACGUAACAAAUGUCUUGAAAUACAAACUAAAAAAUACAACUUUUAGCAAUGGAUCUCUUGGCUUCU